rnacentral:rRNA from 1 species
CAAAAACAUUUCUUCUUUGUAUUUGAAGUAUAACCUGCUCACUGGUAAAAUGUUUUUUUUAAAGAGCCGCUUAUUGUGCUAAGGUAGCAAAAUAGUUUGUCUUUUAAUUUAAGUCUAGAAUGAAUGGUUUUACGUAAAAAUUACUUUUUUUUUUUAAUUUUUAAAAUUUUAUAUUUAAGUGAAAAAUCUUAAAUUUUAUUAAAAGACGAUAAGACCCUAAGAGCUUUGUUUGUAAUAAAUUAUUAUUAAUAAUAAAAUUAUUUUAAUAAUUGUUUUAAAUUUGAUUGGGGAGAUUGCUAAAUAAUUAAAAUUAGAAUUUAUUAACUUUAGUUUUAUAUUUAUUCUUUAAAAAGUUUUUUAGAUCUUCUUGUAAAGUGAUUAGAUGUUUAAGUUACCUUAGGGAUAACAGGGUAAUCUAGUUUUAAAGUUCUUAUUAAAAGUUGGGUUUGCUACCUCGAUGUUGAAUUAAGAUAAAAUAAAAAGGAAGGUUUUUUUAUAAAAGGUCUGUCCGACCUGUAAUAUCUCACGUGAUCUGAG